rnacentral:rRNA from 1 species
CCUACGGGAGGCAGCAGUGAGGAAUAUUGCACAAUGGGGGAAACCCUGAUCCAGCGACGCCGCGUGAGGGAGGAAGUAAUUCGUUAUGGAAAACUCUAUCAGCCGGGAAGCAAAUGACGGUACCUGAGUACGGAGCCCCGGCUAAAUACAUGCCAGCAGCCGCAGUACUACGUAGGGGGCAAGCGUUAUCCGGAUUUACUGGGUGUAAAGGGAGCUUAGACGGCAGUGCAAGUCUGGAGGGAAAGGCGGGGGCUCAACCCCCGGACUGCUGUGGAAACUGUAAGGCUGGAGUGCAGGAGAGGUAUGUGGAAUGCGUGGUGUAGCGGUGAAAUGCGUAGAUAUUAGGCGGAACCCCGAUGGCGAAGGCGGCAUACCGG